rnacentral:rRNA from 1 species
UACGUAGGGUGCGAGCGUUGUCCGGAAUUACUGGGCGUAAAGAGCUCGUAGGUGGUUUGUCGCGUUGUCCGUGAAAACUCACAACUCAAUUGUGGGCGUGCGGGCGAUACGGGCAGACUGGAGUACUGCAGGGGAGACUGGAAUUCCUGGUGUAGCGGUGAAAUGCGCAGAUAUCAGGAAGAACACCAAUGGCGAAAGCAGCUCUCUGGGACGGUACUGACGCUGAGACGCGAAAGCGUGGGGAGCGAACAGG